UACGUAGGGAGCAAGCGUUGUCCGGAAUCAUUGGGCGUAAAGCGCGCGUAGGUGGCCUCAUAAGUCCGCUGUGAAAGUCAAAGGCUCAACCUUUGAAAGCCGGUGGAUACUGUGAGGCUAGAGUACGGAAGAGGCGAGUGGAAUUCCUGGUGUAGCGGUGAAAUGCGCAGAUAUCAGGAAGAACACCUAUGGCGAAAGCAGCUCUCUGGGACGGUACUGACGCUGAGACGCGAAAGCGUGGGGAGCGAACAGG
rnacentral:rRNA from 1 species